GCCAAAACAAAAACACAGCUGAGAACUCUUACUAUACGAAACCCCAUGCUGUAAUAAGUGUGUGUGUGUGUGUGUGUGUAAGAGAGAGGCCAUGUACGUGCUUAAGAGAUGCUCAUCUUUGUGUAAAGCUACGAGGUACAAAACAAGAACCGUAACUAAAGUACCGUUUUUAAAGCGUGCCUUAUGUUACCCGGAUAAGGACUGACGAGACUACUAAAUGCUCUUUUCAAACCUUCGAGGCUGAGAGAAAGAGAAAAAAAAAAACAACUCCCACACACUAAAAACUCCUACAAACAACUCAGAAGAUGGACAAUAGCAGGAGGAAAAUGUACAAGAAGUCCUGGCCAAUUCCCAGCCUCCAGACAACUCUUCCCUAAC
ensembl:lncRNA